rnacentral:rRNA from 1 species
UUCCGGUUGAUCCUGCCGGACCCGACUGCUAUUUGGGUGAGGAUAAGCCAUGCGAGUUGAAUGGGAUACCUAAAUUUCCCAUGGCAGACUGCUCAGUAACACAUGAUCAACUUACCCUAUGGAGAAAAAUAACCUCGGGAAACUGAGGAUAAUGUUUCAUAGUUGAAAAGGCUUGGAAAAGUUUUUCAAUGAAAAGGAUAAGAUAAAUGGUUCUUAUUUGCCAUAGGAUAGGAUCGUGGUCGAUUAUGGUUGUUGGCGAGGUAACGGCUCACCAAGCCGAUAAUCGAUUGGGGCCGUGAGAGCGGGAGCCCCGAGAUGGGUACUGAGACAACGACCCAGGCCUUACGAGGCGCAGCAGGCGCGAAACCUCCGCAAUACACGAAAGUGUGACGGGGUUACCCAAAGUGUUCAUUUCUGAACUGUGGUAGGUGAGUAAUGUCCCCUACUAGAAAGGAGAGGGCAAGGCUGGUGCCAGCCGCCGCGGUAAAACCAGCUCUUCAAGUGGUCGGGAUAAUUAUUGGGCUUAAAGUGUCCGUAGCCGGUUUAGUAAGUUCCUGGUAAAAUCGGGUAGCUUAACUAUCCGCGUGCUAGGAAUACUGCUAUACUAGAGGGCGGGAGAGGUCUGAGGUACUACAGGGGUAGGGGUGAAAUCUUAUAAUCCUUGUAGGACCACCAGUGGCGAAGGCGUCAGACUGGAACGCGCCUGACGGUGAGGGACGAAAGCCAGGGAGCGAACCGGAUUAGAUACCCGGGUAGUCCUGCCGUAAACGAUGCAUACUAGGUGAUGGCACGGCCAUGACCGUGUCGUGCCGUAGGGAAACCGUUAGUGUGCCGCCUGGGAAGUACGGUCGCAAGGCUAAAACUUAAAGGAAUUGGCGGAGGAUCACCACAAGGGUGAAGCCUGCAGUUCAAUUGGAAUCACCGCCG